rnacentral:rRNA from 1 species
AUGGCGCGCCAUCGUCGACGGCCAGAGGCUCCUCCUGCCCUACUACUUCCCGCCGCACGCCUUUCCCGGCAUCUUCACCAACGUCUACGGAUCCCACAACUACGAGUCUUCUUUCUUCGCCAUGCAACGGCUAGAUGGGAGCGGUUGCCACGACCGUCGAAGGCGCCAUGGCCGCGCUGUAUGAAGGGCAUGUUCCUCGCCUUCGACCCUGUUGUGUCGCGGCACUAUGAGGUGUUCUUCUUUCCCAUUGAGAAGGUCCAAACGCACGGUGAAAUGCAACAUAUGUGGAUCACCGAGGAACUGCACUUACGCACAUUAUUUGGAGAAGAUCAAUUACAUGAAGAACAAGAGGCAUCGGCACCAUCAAGACCAUGUGUGCAAGCGUCGUCACAAGAUGCCAAGAUUGCGGUGCCGGAGCAACAUGAAGAAUUUCAUGUCCACUCGCAAGGGGUCAAGGAGGCAAAGGAUAAUGUUGUAUCUUUACUGGUGUUCUCGUCACAAACCAAUCAAUGGGAGACCCGGGAAUUCCUGCCAGGGCGUUGUGCCCCCGAGCACCUCUACGACAUUAUGAUGACACCAUGGGACAAAUACAAGAAAAUAUGGUGGUCGGCUGAGUAUUGGCACGGAUCGCUCUAUGUGCAUUGCCACAACGAUAUCCUCAUGAUCCUACACUGUUUCGAAUGUACGUACGAGCUGGUCCAGCUGCCAGGGGAAGCCCAUGAUGCGCGCUUCUAUGAAAUGCCAACGAGGUCCAUCUUGGCUAGCCAGGAGAAAGGGAUUCGGUAUGCGGCGCUCGACGACUGUCAGCUUCAAGUAUGGUCACUUGCAAAAUCAUCCGAUGGCUUGCUAGGGUGGAUGCUGGAACAUGAGGCAGACCUUGAUCCGUACAUGGUUUCCUAUGAGACCUUAGCGAAAAUAAAGCCAAGGGUAACAUGGGACGCAGUGAAAACCAGCAAAAAAAGUGUCAUCUUGUGCCAGCACGGAUAUAGUGUGGAAGGCUUGGCGGAUGAGAAGGGCCACCAUGACACUGCUGAUGAAGUUGAUGAUGAUGACAAUGGUGUCGAAGAGGAAGAAACCGAGAGCAUAGAGGGCUCCGAGCACUCGUGGGACUCGGAUGAGGAUAACUUCAUCGACAUCGACAUCGACAAAUGUGCCAAUUACGCGGGGCCUGCCCUACGCGGGAUCAUGGGUCUGCAUCCACACAAGGACGUGCUCCUCCUCAAUACCAGCAGUUUUGCCAUGGCAUACCACCUUAGUACCUCGAGAAUGCAGUACUUAGGCGAGAGGCUCGUCCGGGACCCCUGCCAACAUGCUCAUGGCAUCAGGCGUGCAUUUCCUUACCGUCCCUGUUAUGUUGAUAUGCUCCCGACAAGGAAGAUACCUUGCUCUCGUUGCCUCUGGUCGUACUCAUAUAGUCGGCAAUAG